UGCAGUGUCACAAUAAUAUGAUAUGAUUUUUAUGCUUCGGAUAAGAAUAACACAUCCCCGCCAAUGGUUAUAAAUUAUCUUGCAGGAUAUGCGGCGAAACAUACCUCUAUAAAAGAAAAUUUACGUACCAAAUAGACGUGUUGCUAAUCAAGUUUUGGGCAGCGUCAAAAUGAACUCAAUACAAAGUCUUCGUCGGGAAUACGCGGAAGAUUUUUUUUACGUAAACCGCUGGAUUUUGCGUCUAGCUGGGCUGUGGUGCCCCGAAAAUAAAAACCCUUACGCUCAAUUCGCGUACAACGCUUACGCUAUUGUUGUCUUUUUGUUCCCGAAUCUGUGGUUUACCUCUACCGAAUUCGUUUCUCUCUUUUACACUUACAAACGCGAAGACGCAUUCAUCAAAAAUAUUAACUUUUUCCUUACCCAUUUCAUGGGAGCCGUCAAGGUUAUAUUCUGGUACUUCAGGGGCGACUGUUUAAUUCGAAUCAUGAAGACUUUGGAAGAUCCCGAUCUGCAUUACAAACCUUUUACGGAAUAUAAUCCUGGCAAGAUCUCCAAACGUUAUAAGAAAAUAGGUGUGACAUAUACGCUGUCGUUUCUCGCUUUGGCGCAUGCAACGCUAUCUUCUUCUUACAUUCCGCCCAUCAUCAGUGUUACGAGAUAUAUGCGUAGCGACGCAAAUUCUACGCACUUGUUACCCGAAAAGUUACCCUAUUACAGUUGGAUGCCAUUUGCAUACAACACAGAAAAACUUUACCUUUUGGCUGUCGCAUAUCAAGCAGGUCCAAUGUUUUCGUAUGCCUACAGCAUCGUUGGAAUUGAUACCCUUUUCAUGAACAUUAUGAAUAACAUUGGAUCAAAUUUGACCAUCAUGCAAGGAGCUUUUAAGACGCUUCGUGGACGAACUGCAAAGAUAGUUGGCCAGCCGAUCUCUAGCCUUCGAUUACAUGAAAACGCUGAAUUCACUGAUGAGCUCUAUAAACAAUUUAGAAAAAUCUCCAGGCAUCUUCAGACUGUACUACACAUGAGCAAUCAACUGGAAUCUGUCUACAGAUAUGUAACACUCUGUCAAAUAACAGCAACUCUAUUUAUAUUGUGUACCUGUCUGUACCUGGUAUCAACGACGCCUCUAGGAAGUAAGCAGUUCAUAGCGGAAUGUGUAUAUAUGGCUGCCAUGUUUUUUCAACUGUUUGUUUACUGCUGGUUUGGCAACGAAGUCACUCUUAAGGCAGUGUCAGGAAUUAUCAAAUUAUAUUUGGGAGUGCGAAUGGUUUGCUACUACGACGAGCUUUAAAAAGAACUUGAUUUUUACAAUGAUGCGAACUAAGAAACCCCUUUAUUUUACUGCCGGAAAAUUUCUGCCGCUAACUUUGCCCACUUUUAUGUCAAUCAUAAAAACGUCCUACUCUAUAUUUGCCUUAAUUAAAAACACUUCAGAAUAAGCCAGUAGCGUUUUCGUCCCAAUUAUUAUGUUGAAUAAAUAAUUGAAGAAGAGGGUUGGUUUGUUCCCAAUUCGCAGCUUAUGGAUUCGUGUGGAGUAUAAAAAAAUAAAAAAUGUACUCGACUUUUAGACGGAUGACAUUAUACAAUAGUAUACCUAGUUAUGCAAUAAGUUUUAUUGCUAUGCUUUUUCUACGAACAUUAGUUUUAAGUUAUAUUUUUGCAAAACAACUCUAACACAUUUCCUGCUAAUGACUCCAACGGACUCGCGAAAGUGUUUAAUGAAACUGAAACCUUAGCAGGCUUUGUUUUACGAAUAUUUCCAUUGUUAAGGCCCCCACAGAUGCUCAAUUUUUUAAUACAGGCUGCCUGUGCAAACCUAGUUUGUGCAGGCAUAUCGGUGCGUUUGUGUGAACGUCCGGCCGACUACGCAGCCCGUUGGCCUGGCCUGAUCAAAAUCAGCCCGUGCUUGAAUUUAGCCUGCGCAAACUUGGACACCUGAGCGUGUGUGGGACUCGUUCAGUUAAUUUGUUCAGUUUUAAGGUUUAUUUAGAAUCCAAAAAUAGUAAGCAACAAAAAGACGAAUGUUAGCAAACAGUUUUUAAGCGAAUUUAUUGAGGUAUACCAAAGCUUACCAUGUUUAUGGAAAAUAAAGAGUAAAUACAGUGACAGAAAUAAAAAGUCCGCAGCCUAUGAUAUGUUGGUCGAAAAACUCAAAGAUAUGAUACAGGAGCAAAUAUGGAAGCCGUGGUUAAAAAAAUAGCUGUUAACCGCUCAUGGCAUGAAACUGAUUGCCUCAUGCAUGUGUUUUGCUUUUGUAUCAAAGGAGAAACGAGUUUCAAUAAUUUCAAGUAGGUUGUCUCGUCUAUUCUUAGGUAGUUAAACCAAUCCUGCUUCUCAAGUUUCAAAUCAGCAAGCAAAUUGACAUGGGAGUAAUAAUUUCUUUUGAGUAACCAAUCUUUGGUCCAUUUGCUUCUUUAAACCAACCGUUGUUUUUUUUGCUUUUUCUUUAUUGCACAAGCAAGCACAAUGCAAUAUAAUGGCGUGUCUUGAAAAGUCAUUAUCUUUUACUAAGUAUAGAAAAACCGUGCCAAAACUAAUGAGUGUGAAUUUACCCAGUUGGCUGUAUAGAAAGAACUGUGUUAUAAAACUGCGUGUGUGUGGGACAGGCAAUAGUACAGUUAAACUGCACAAAUUGGCCUGUGGGCUAAAAAAUUUAGC